UACGUAGGGCGCAAGCGUUGUCCGGAAUUAUUGGGCGUAAAGAGCUCGUAGGCGGCUUGUCACGUCGGGUGUGAAAGCCCGGGGCUUAACCCCGGGUCUGCAUUCGAUACGGGCUAGCUAGAGUGUGGUAGGGGAGAUCGGAAUUCCUGGUGUAGCGGUGAAAUGCGUAGAUAUCUGGAGGAACACCGGUGGCGAAGGCGGGUCUCUGGGCCGAUACUGACGCUGAGGAGCGAAAGCGUGGGGAGCGAACAGG
rnacentral:rRNA from 1 species